UGGCUUUUGUUGAGAUAAAUGUCAUGUUGGUAUGAUCGCUAGUUCCUACAUCCAGUGUUAGAACAACUGCUUUGCGAUUCUCUUCUGUUUUUCCCCAUCCGUCACGUCUUUUUUAUCUGAGUUUUCGCUGUGUGUAAAUGGCUGUACAAGGUGUUGAAGUACACAGGAUACACAGGUGUGAAGUACACAGUACAAUGAAGUACACAGGAUACAACAGGAUAAUCUGUAUGAAUCAAUUGAAUUUCAAAACCCAAACCAAUGUAAUAACAGCUUUAAACAGCAUCUGAAAAACGAUAAGUUCAAUAAUCUCGCUGUUCAUUUGAUUCGCAUUUAUUUUGCGAAAGACGAUAUAAAUAUUUUCUCCCACGUACUUAACAAAGGAAGGUUAUAGAUAUGCACUUAAUUUAAAGAAAUGGUGAAAAAUUAUGAGAUUUAGUCUAAGUGCAUCCUUUACUGGCUUUACUGAACUACGCAAUUAUCGUGUACACCAAUAAAUGGCAUCAAAUGCACAUGUUAUACAUUAUUUGACAUACUCUAUUGUGAAUUAUCCUUCGAAGGCUUUGCUAUAUUGUUUUAUCAAAAGAAUUUAGAGUGACUUGUGUGCAACUAUCUACCCUAUUCUAUAAAUUAUUUCAAGAAAUACCAUGAACCAUACAGGUCUUCGUUAAGGCCUUAACAGAGAAAACUAUUACUCUUGAAGACGAAGCUUCUGACACGAUAGAGAAUGUUAAAGCAA
rnacentral:lncRNA from 1 species